GGGUAUGCGGGGAUAGACUGCCUCCAGAUAAGGGGGAUCUGUUUAGAUUUCGGGACCGGACUGGGAGCAGUUCUUGGUAACUCGGCUCAAAUGUCAUGCAUUUUGAUGAGAACUGGAACACAUUUCCGACUCCUGGCAAAAAUAAAAAACACAUUUCUCCUUCUCUCUUUGGACACUCGGAAAGAAGCGCUUACCCCACCCCCUCCUGUGGCAGAGCCCUAGGGUUACAGGGGGAGAAGAAUCCACAGGAUUGAACCAUUCUCAGUGCGGAGAGAAAAAAACCAUAUUUGUUGUUGUAUCACUUGUCAUUAUGAACUGCUGGAUAGCUUGGUGGAUUAGCCAUCAGGUUGGGAGUUCGA